rnacentral:rRNA from 1 species
GAUGAACGCUGGCGGCGUGCCUAAUACAUGCGAGUCGAGCGAACGGACGAGAAGCUUGCUUCUCUGAUGUUAGCGGCGGACGGGUGAGUAACACGUGGAUAACCUACCUAUAAGACUGGGAUAACUUCGGGAAACCGGAGCUAAUACCGGAUGAUAUUUUGAACCGCAUGGUUCAAAAGUGAAAGACGGUCUUGCUGUCACUUAUAGAUGGAUCCGCGCUGCAUUAGCUAGUUGGUAAGGUAACGGCUUACCAAGGCAACGAUGCCUAGCCGACCUGUGAGGGUGAUCGGCCACACUGGAACUGAGACACGGUCCAGACUCCUACGGGAGGCAGCAGUAGGGAAUCUUCCGCAAUGGGCGAAAGCCUGACGGAGCAACGCCGCGUGUGUGAUGAAGGUCUUCGGAUCGUAAAACUCUGUUAUUAGGGAAGAACAUAUGUGUAAGUAACUGUGCACAUCUUGACGGUACCUAAUCAGAAAGCCCCGGCGAACUACGU